UUAAAUGUAAGCUUGUUAGAUGAUUAUUAUUUUAGUGCCUGUGACAAGAAACAUGAGGUGCAACAAGAUUUAUGUUUGAGUUUUAUUUACCUUCUAAUGAAAAUGUCCUUGUGCUAUCCUACAGAGAAAGAAAGCUGAAAUUGCUCUUUAUAUUCUCUAAAAUCAAUGCCAAAUGCUCAUCUAAGGUAGCUGAGAUUUCUGUAUCUAUGUUAUUGCUAAAUCAUCCACUUCACUGGUCUACUGUCUUAACAAAGGAUGCUGGAUCCAACCUUGAGAACCUUCCAGAUGGACUGCUGCCUUUUACUUGAAAAAGAGAGACAAAGAUGAAGUGGCUGUGAAUGUCACUGUGCCCCAUCAGUGAAGUCUGUAAAGGAGACUCAGCUCCAUGUGGUUGAAGAUGUGCAUAACCCCAUAACUGUCAGUAGGACAGUAUCCUGUUGGUGGGGAAUGGAAAAUUGGAGCCCUGGUAGAAAGAGUGGUGACUCAGGAGUGGAGGGACAAAGUGUAAGCAAGUGCUGGAAUCUCCCUGAGUUUAACUACAACUAUGAAACACUGUUUAAAAUGUGUUUUCUUUUUCUAUAGCAAGAUUAAUUGAAAAAGUUUAAGCGUUUCGAAAUCAUAUUGCUUGCCUCAGGAAUCUGAAAUAGUAAUGGUGUGUCUUUUCAUAGUUAUUUCAAAUUGCUCGUGUAUGUGUUAGCUGACAUUGGCAUAAGUAAAUUGUUUCUCUGUGGUGUUUCAUCUUCUUGGUUGUUUGGAAUUCAGCUUAAUUCUCAAUUUGUCUGCUUUAUGCAGGCAUCUGUAUCAGCAUGAAGCUAUUCACAUGCACUUCCUCCCUUUCUGUGUGACACACUUCCAUAUGUGGAUUCACAUUUAACUAAUAUACACAGAUAAUUUCUUGUACCCUGUAGCUCUAUUGACUAUACUAUUGAUCCUGUACUGUCAUUUAGAGUUAGGGUUUUUAUCUGUUCUUAUAUCCUUCUGUCAGAGAUAAUACAAUAUUAUAAGGAUGCACUGUCUGAUUUAGCAGAGAGAUUUAACAGAGCAAGGCUGUUAUGAUAUUUACAUGACCUAAUUAUUUUACUACUAUUAGUGAUUUUCUGCUAACGACUCCGUCUUGUUUUUAUCUUCACCAACUGCUUUAAUAAAGUAUUCAUUAUAUAUCGCGUUGCCACUGAACAUGGUAUUCAUAUGUC